UACUAUUCUUAGAUAAGCUUUAACCCUAAAUUAGUAGUAGGUAUUUACUUAAAAAUUAAAAGAUUUGGCGGUAAUUUAAUCUUUCCAGAGGAACUUGUUUUUUAAUCGAUACACCUCGAAAUAUCUUUCUUAUUUGAAGUAAAGUUUGUAUACCGUCAUUAUCAGGUAAUUUUUARAAAAGUAAAUUGCUAAGAGUAAAAUAUUAAUAAAAUUAGAUCAUGGUGCAGCUUAUAAAUAAGUUAAAAUGAGUUACAAUAAAUUUUUUUAAUAAACGGAUAAAUAAAAAAAUUUUUUAUUUARAAGGAGGAUUUGGUUGUAUUUGAGGUUUAACAUGCCUUAAAGAUGAAAGCUCUAAAUUAUGUACAUAU
rnacentral:rRNA from 1 species